GAGAACUGUGUGUUCUGUGUGUGAACAUCUAUGUAUCAUAUUAGCAGAUGCUGAGGAUUUGACAAAUUCAACAGUGGCCUGUACCUUUCCUUCCAGAGAGACAAGGAUGAACUCAUCGGUGGAAGUCAGAUGAGUCACAAACCCAGUUAUGUUCCUGGAGUUGCUGUAUCCAGGGUUUGGAAGCUACUCAGUGUACUAAGGCCACAACGAGGAAGUGUGA